UACGUAGGGUGCAAGCGUUGUCCGGAAUUAUUGGGCGUAAAGAGCUCGUAGGCGGUCUGUCACGUCGGAUGUGAAAAUCCAGGGCUUAACCCUGGACCUGCAUUCGAUACGGGCAGACUAGAGUUCGGUAGGGGAGACUGGAAUUCCUGGUGUAGCGGUGAAAUGCGCAGAUAUCAGGAGGAACACCGGUGGCGAAGGCGGAUCUCUGGGCCUUACCUGACGCUGAGGAGCGAAAGCAUGGGGAGCAAACAGG
rnacentral:rRNA from 1 species